GUGCCUAUAGCUCAGAUGGAUAGAGCAUCAGUUUGCGGAACUGAGGGUCAGAGGUUCGAAUCCUCUUAGGCAUA
rnacentral:tRNA from 1 species